rnacentral:misc_RNA from 1 species
GAUGAAGAACGUAGCGAAAUGCGAUAAGUAAUGUGAAUUGCAGAAUUCAGUGAAUCAUCGAAUCUUUGAACGCACCUUGCACCCUUUGGACUGCUCCAAAGGGUAUGCUCGUUUGAGUGCCAUUGUACUCUCACACUCUCUGAUCCUUUGGAUUUGGGGAGCAGUGGACUUGGGUGCUUGCUGCUUCCUUGUGGCUCACCUGAAAUGCAUCAGUGCAUCUCUCGAUUGGACAUAGUACGGCGUGAUAAGUGUCUUCGCCGGCACCUCAUAUGAGGGUGGCCGAUCGGGAGCUCUGUGCUUUCAAACCGUCUUCGGACAACGCUGACAACUUGACCUCAAAUCGAGUAGGACUACCCGCUGAACUUAAGCAUAUCAAUAAGCGGAGGA